UGGCUCAGAUUGGACGCUAGCGGGAUGCCUUACACAUGCAAGUCGAACGGCAGCACGGACUUCGCGUCUGGUGGCGAGUGGCGAACGGGUGAGUAUAUGUAUCGGAACGUGCCUAGUAGCGGGGGAUAACUACGCGAAAGCGUAGCUAAUACCGCAUACGCCCUACGGGGGAAAGCAGGGGAUCGCAAGACCUUGCACUAUUGGAGCGGCCGAUAUCGGAUUAGCUAGUUGGUGGGGUAACGGCUCACCAAGGCGACGAUCCGUAGCUGGUUUGAGAGGACGACCAGCCACACUGGGACUGAGACACGGCCCAGACUCCUACGGGAGGCAGCAGUGGGGAAUUUUGGACAAUGGGGGAAACCCUGAUCCAGCCAUCCCGCGUGUGCGAUGAAGGCCUUCGGGUUGUAAAGCACUUUUGGCAGGAAAGAAACGUCAUGGGCUAAUACCCCGUGAAACUGACGGUACCUGCAGAAUAAGCACCGGCUAACUACGUGCCAGCAGCCGCGGUAAUACGUAGGGUGCAAGCGUUAAUCGGAAUUACUGGGCGUAAAGCGUGCGCAGGCGGUUCGGAAAGAAAGAUGUGAAAUCCCAGAGCUUAACUUUGGAACUGCAUUUUUAACUACCGAGCUAGAGUGUGUCAGAGGGAGGUGGAAUUCCGCGUGUAGCAGUGAAAUGCGUAGAUAUGCGGGAGGAACACCGAUGGCGAAGGCAGCCUCCUGGGAUAACACUGACGCUCAUGCACGAAAGCGUGGGGGAGCAAACAGGAUUAGAUACCCUGGUAGUCCACGCCCUAAACGAUGUCAACUAGCUGUUGGGGCCUUCGGGCCUUGGUAGCGCAGCUAACGCGUGAAGUUGACCGCCUGGGGAGUACGGUCGCAAGAUUAAAACUCAAAGGAAUUGACGGGGACCCGCACAAGCGGUGGAUGAUGUGGAUUAAUUCGAUGCAACGCGAAAAACCUUACCUACCCUUGACAUGUCUGGAAUUCCGAAGAGAUUUGGAAGUGCUCGCAAGAGAACCGGAACACAGGUGCUGCAUGGCUGUCGUCAGCUCGUGUCGUGAGAUGUUGGGUUAAGUCCCGCAACGAGCGCAACCCUUGUCAUUAGUUGCUACGAAAGGGCACUCUAAUGAGACUGCCGGUGACAAACCGGAGGAAGGUGGGGAUGACGUCAAGUCCUCAUGGCCCUUAUGGGUAGGGCUUCACACGUCAUACAAUGGCGGGACAGAGGGUCGCCACCCGCGAGGGGGAGCCAAUCCCAGAAACCCGAUCGUAGUCCGGAUCGCAGUCUGCAACUCGACUGCGUGAAGUCGGAAUCGCUAGUAAUCGCGGAUCAGCAUGUCGCGGUGAAUACGUUCCCGGGUCUUGUACACACCGCCCGUCACACCAUGGGAGUGGGUUUUACCAGAAGUAGUUAGCCUAACCGUAAGGGGGGCGAUUACCACGGUAGGAUUCAUGACUGGGGUGAAGU
rnacentral:rRNA from 1 species